UACGGGGGGGGCAAGCGUUGUUCGGAAUUACUGGGCGUAAAGGGUUCGUAGGUGGCCGACUAAGUCAGACGUGAAAUCCCUCAGCUUAACUGGGGAACUGCGUCUGAUACUGAUUGGCUUGAGGACAGGGGAGGAACGCGGAGUUCCAGGUGUAGCGGUGAAAUGCGUAGAUAUCUGGAGGAACACCGGUGGCGAAGGCGGCGCCCUGGCUCGCAACUGACGCUCAGACACGACAGCAUGGGGAGCGAACGGG
rnacentral:rRNA from 1 species